rnacentral:pre_miRNA from 1 species
UGGUUAUGAUAAUGAUGAUGGUGGUGGUGGUGAUGAUGAUGAUGAUCAUCAUCAUCAUUAUCAUUGUCAUCAUCAUCAUCAUCAUCUCUC